GCGGACGUAGCUCAGCUGGCUAGAGCACCACCUUGCCAAGGUGGAUGUCGCGGGUUCGAAUCCCGUCGUCCGCUCCA
rnacentral:tRNA from 24 species